AACUCUGAAACUACCUGAACUCGGGGUUCAGGGGAUUGAUUGAUUACAGCAAAAGCUGUGCCCUCUGAACCUGGCUGCAGCCAAAUAAAACUGUUGCCAGCUAUGUUUGGUGCCUUGCCUCGUUUUUCCCUACAACAUUUUGGUGACCCAGAUGGGGCCAAGGAGGUAGGGAAGGCUAUUCUGCCUCUCUUGUCUCCGGGGACUGGCUUCCCUGGGGCGAUGGGGGACAGUGGUCCCCUUGACCUGCCCAGGCCAUUCUUGGCCUGAAGGAGGACACACCCAGGGCCCUGGGGCUGCCACCCUGGAGCACAAUGGAACCCACAGGCAGCAGGAAGCAGAAUUAGGGUUUUGGAGCACCACCCAUCUGAACAGGUAGGACCCGGGUCCAUUUGGUUUUGCAGCCUGUAAGACUGGAAAACGCCGCACCACACGACAGAUUACCAAAGAGGUCUCUCUUUAUUAAAAAUGGCUGUGUGUUUAUAUAGGUCUAAGAGAGGUGGCAGGGGCUGAGGUAGAUAACAGGUCGCCCGUUUAUUGGCAAGCUCUUCCAUAUGUCAGUUCCGGGGCCCAAGAAGUUAAUUCUAAUUGGGGCUAAGGCUUCCUACCGGCAGGGUUUGAACAUUGGUGCCGGCGGGAACGUUUCGCGCCAGUGAAAGAAACAAAGAAGAGAAGGAGAGUCGUUAGACGCCAUGUUGGGGUUUUUUUCUGGGGUGCGGCUGCCGCCGUUAUGUUUUCCCAACACAACCCACCUGACUUCCCCUUGGAGGCCUAAGCAGGUGGAAGAGAGGCUUGAUCAACCUCUGUUGGGUCCCAAGUACCCUCCAAAGUGGUUGGAGCUGAAACGGACCUGGGGAGUUGCCCGAGUAGUCUCUGUUUGGGGUCAGUGAGCAGAGGGGAAACUGUGACUCCCUUUUUGUUUGGCUUGGAAUUGUUGGAAUUUGGGCAGUAUAGAAAUUUUUUUCUGGCCAUGUCUGUAUGAAAGUGUGAGAAAGUGUGUGAGUGAGAUGGACAAAGGGAAGGGUUCCUACCCAACCCGAGGGCCAAAGUGAGUGCAGAGUCCUGAUCUGCGGUUCUGUGGCACCUCAUACAGUCUGUGGUGGAAUUUUACCAACCAACGUCUAGGUUAAAGCUCCAGGUUGGGGGUUGAUGCCAACCCGAAUGUCUAAGAGGGCCCUAAGUCCCUGCGAGGGGAGCGGCCGGAGAUGGACCAAGAGAGUCUUGCCCUAAGUGUGUUUUGUUCUAAGUGUGUGACACCGAUGCAGGGUGGAAUAUGGGAGGCAUACUAAGGAAACUGGGCCUUCUGAAAUGUGUGUUAGAAACCUUUAAGUAUGUUUUCCUGGUAAAUGUGGGGUGAAGCUCACUUCACAAAGGUGGCAUACUCUCUGAAUUAGAAUGGCUCACCCAGGAUGUGGGCUGGCCACCAGAAGGAUCUUUAGAUGAGAGAGUCAUUGCUGAGGUCCUUUUGAUUGUUGUUGGAACUCCUGAACCAAUUCUCUUAUAUUGAUUGCUGGCAAGAGAUAGUACAGAAACAGUGCCCUUGGUUGAGAGCCUAUCUGGAUGGACAGUCCAAGUUGAUGUUAGCCAGGAGCAUAGUGGUCUCUAAGACCCAGUGGAAACCAGCUAACCAGAAAACCUGACUAGGAAAGACAGGAAGGGAAACAGUUUUCCCCAUGAGCCAGAAGAGGACCCACCACCUUAUGUGCCACUCUACCCAACUUUGCCAAGACCACUGGUACAACAGACUGUCCCCUCAGCCCCCUUGUCCUCAAAGGCAACAAAUGAUGGCCCCCAAUACUGGAUAUUCCUUCCUCUGUGGUGUUCUCUGAGCCAAUGGCUUCCUAGAACCAAAGACUCUUUCACCUCCCAAGAUUAAGGUGGGAUAUUUGUCCCAAGACCAGAGCCACAACCCAGAUGAGAACUUUCCAGAUGCCCCUGCAAGGGACUAAAGGACCUGCCCAUAAUGAUCAGAGGGAAACACCUGAGGGAGACAAGGCAGUUUUGUGUGCCAGCCUUUCACCACCACUGCACUCAUAAGCUGGAAAAAUCAUACUCCCUCCUACAUGGAGAAACCCUGGACCAUGACUGAUCUGAUGCAGGCCAUUAUCCAGACCUAGGAUGGGGCCCCAACAAAGAAGAAGAUCUAAAGAUAAAGAGAUGUCAGGAAGCCCUCAUAGAAAGUCCAAAAGGAAAGAAAAAAGAGAACAAAACACACCGUCUGUGCCCAAGAGUUAGAAGGAAUUGGAGCCAGCCCUGAGCCCUAACCUAAGGCUGAGAUAAGCCUCCCAUUGCUCCAGUAUCUCCCUCUCACACCCUCGAUAGCCCUGAACAUUUCUCUUGGCCCCACAUCUGCCUAAGGCCCCUCUGCCCUAUGAAACUGGCAGCAAUAAUCAAAAGAGAUGUGUCCAACUGACUUAGAGCUACAUGUCCAGGCCAUCGCCGCUGCCGCUCCUCUCCCUGCCCAGAGGUGCCCGGGGGAGGAGGGGCACCAUACAAACAUUGCUGCUACAGUGCAAGUUUGUCAGUGAAGAAAUGCACAGGUGCAAGCAAUAGGUGAUCAAUGCAGCCUUUGAGGUACAGGCUCGGAGAGCCAUUUGCCAAAAAUUACAAUUCUAGAGGGCUUUACUGAGAAGUGUGCCAGUGACCUGAUUAAGGUGGCCACCACAGUUUCUGUCAAUCGAGAUCCAGAGGCUCAAAGACAGGCAGACCAAAAAAGAUAAAAAAGGAGGAUGGAUCUCCUUACAGCUGCCCUCACCACAAAUCCAGAGUUCACUCAAAGGAGGGCUCACUAGAACAAAGCCAAAGGUUCAAAUAUUUAUAAGAAAAAAAAAAAAAGCAUGACCAGCCUUCAAUGGCCCCAGCAGACAAGUACCCACUGCCAUGCUCAAAAGCUAAGACUUGAACAGAAAAGGAGCGGAUGUUUUCCCUCUAGCUUUUGGCCCCAGCCCCACCUUUCAGUUGAUUUCCACUUGCUCAGAAGUUGAUGAUUGACGAAUAUGGCAGGGGUCCCAUAGACACACACAACUGCAUCUGAUACAUGGGACCCAGCACCUCAGGAGGGAUCAGCUGCUGCCAGCCCCCAAAUGAACAAGGAAUAUGUUCAUGUUAACAGCCAAUAGUGGGCCAUAUGGUGCUCACUCCAAAAGGACAUGCCAUCCUGGCUCCAAGCCACAUGCUGUGAGCCACCAGCAGGAAGGGCCACAGAGCCCCAUGUAUCCAGGCUUACUGAACAAAAACACAAGCGGGGUCGCUACUAUAUACAAUUAGAGCAGGCUCCCACCUGACAAGAGGAGAAAGCCACACAGACAAAGAGCAACACCUAAGUGAGCACAAUGUGGCUGCCACUCUGGGACCUGCACAGGACCACACCACUGCCCUCCAAUCUUGGCACAUGGCCCAUGGCAAGAUUUACAUAGGUGCCUUUUACGCAAAUGAUGUCCCAGGUCAUCAAUCUCUGCUAAGAUUUACAUUAGAUUUAAGAGUUGGAGAAUCCCAGCAGCCGAGAUCCUGCACUGGGAGAUAAAAAAAAAUUCCUGCAUCUUAAAGCGCCAGACGCUCUAUGUAUGCUUCCCUUCCCUAAAUGACAGUUCCUCCCAGGGGCUUAAGUACACCAUCCUUGGGACAGCACUGGACUCUGAAUUAAAAGCCCAUAUCUAUCCAGAAAAUGGUCAAAUACUUUGGUUACCAUCUGACUCAGCAACAGAUCACAACAACCACUGGGCCUCAAAAGAAACAGGAGAUCUGCUCAAUUCCAGUUUGGGGCUACUGGGUUCAGCCAUAUAUGGAUCCCUAAAUUUUCAGUUAUGAAAAAACCCCUCUAUGAAGCCACAAAGGAAGGAAAAUGGGAUCCUCUAAUAUGGGGGUCAACUAAGCAAAAGGCCUUUGAGGACAUUAAACGAGCACUCCCAGUACAUUUGGACUAGGGCUCCCUGAUUUCACAGAAGCUUUUCUUUCUGUAUGUCCAUGAACAGUCUGGAGUGGCUGUAGGAGUUUUGACUCAAGUCCUGGGUACAUGGACAUCUAUUCAAAUAGCUGGACUUUCUAGCCCAAGACUGGCCACCUUGUUUCUGGGCCCUUGCAGUCAUAGAUCUUCUGGUGUUGAAAGCUGACAAACUGGCUAUGGGAUAAAAAUUGGUUUUCAGGGUUCCUCAUUCAAUUUUGACAUAAGAGUACAAAGGACAAUAUUGGUUGACUAAUGACAGUUUGGUCAAUACCAGGACAUGUUAUGUGAAAACACACGUUUCCAUGUUGAAGUCAUCUGGACUCUAAACCCAGCAACCUUGCUGCCCAUUGGACCUGGACAACCUGAUCACAACUGUAUUGAAGUCAUGGAUGAAAUGUUCUCCAGCAGACCACACCUGGCAGACCAGCCUCAGGGACACUGAAGUGGAGUACUUCACAGAAGGGAAGCAGUUUUAUAAAAGAUGGGGUAUGUUUUGCUGGAUAUGCAGUAGUCACUCUGGACUCCACUGCUGGCAGAACCUCUGCCUCAGGGAACUUCAGCACAAAAAGUAAAAUUUAUUGCUUUGACUUGAGCACCUCAGUUGACAGCAGGAGUUUGUGUGGAUAUUUACAUAGACUCAAAAUAUGCAUUCACUACCCUUCAUGUUCAUAGGGCCUUAUGUACUGAAAAGGGGCUAAUUAACUCAGGAGAAAAACAAGGGGCAUGAUGGAUGGGCAAGAAAUUCUUAAACUUUUGGAUGCACGGUGGGCUCCCAGGAAGGUUGUGAUUAUAUAUUGCCAAGGUCAUUGAAAGGGAAACACAGUGGUUUCUUGCCGCAGUCUGGCUGGGCACAAAAUCACGAGCCACUCAAGCAGGAACAAACUUUAUUUUUUGAAACUGCUGCCAAUAUCCAGUACGCGCCCAUGCCCGGGAAGAUUUUUCGAUCCACCCACGUGGCCUCCUCCCGGACCCGCCAGAGAGAGCUCCUCCCCCGGAACUCCCUCCUACUGUACUUCCCCAACCAAUGGGAACUCUCCAGGAGUCCCAUAGCAGGCCUAGGUGAACAGCAGGAGUCCAAUAUCCAUAUGAAUGCAAAUCUUAACAUAAUCACAUCAUCUCAAUGGCUAGCUGGCGUCACCUUUCAACCAAAAAUGCCAUGCAUCAUAUACUUGGCUCUUAGCAUCUCCCCCCUUCUGUUUAAGUAACAAGCAAUCUGGCUAGGGACCGUGCCUGUUAGGUUUGUCCAAUUCAACAUAUGGUUCUUACCCGUCAUCGGAAAACUGACUUUUAGGCGUCAGCCUCCUGUCUUAGGUUGAUACCACUGUAAUUGGAUCAUACCCAUCACUGACUACCAGUCCAGCAUAUAGCCAUACUGUGGAUAGGCCUAUGCACCAUUGGGGGGGUGAGGUUCUUUGCCUCACCUCUGUUGGCCCCCAAAAUUAGACCAUCACUAGUAGAAGGGAGGAGGAUACAGAAAUGUCACGACACCAAGUCAAUUGAUGGCUCCUAGGAAAAAUUGCAUCACUGGUGACACAUCAGCAAAGAUACGCUAGCACUACCAUAAUUCGCUGCAUCAACAGAUAGAUCACAAAGCAUACAAGUGAUACAUAGUCCAGGCAAGUUCUGUAAGCAGUUCAAAGCAGAGG
rnacentral:lncRNA from 1 species